UACGGCUACACCACGUUCAAACACCAGUUCCUGUAUGAUCACCGAAAUUAAGCGACAUUGAGCUUGGUCAGUACUUAGAUGGGUGACCGCUUGAGAGUUCCAAG